CUUCGGUUUUGUAGACAGUGGCGAACGGGUGCGUAACACGUGAGCAACCUGCCCUUGAGUAUAGAAUAGCUCGCCGAAAGGCGAAUUAAUACUGUAUGUGACCCUCUACCGCAUGGUAAAGUGGUUAAAGCUUGUAAUGGCGCUCAAGGAUGGGCUCGCGGCCUAUCAGCUUGUUGGUGAGGUAAAAGCUCACCAAGGCUAAGACGGGUAGCUGGUCUGAGAGGAUGAUCAGCCACACCGGGACUGAGACACGGCCCGGACACCUACGGGUGGCAGCAGUUUCGAAUCAUUCACAAUGGGCGAAAGCCUGAUGAUGCAAUGCCGCGUGGAGGAUGAAGGCCUUAGGGUCGUAAACUCCUGUCAUUAGGGAACAACAAAUAGGUUUAUAGCCUAUUCUGAGUUAACCUAAAGAGGAAGAGGUGGCUAACUCCGUGCCAGCAGCCGCGGUAAUACGGAGACCUCGAGCGUUACUCGGAUUUACUGGGCGUAAAGGGUGAGCAGGCGGCCAAGUGUGUCAGGUGUGAAAUCCCGGGGCUUAACCCCGGAACUGCGCCUGAAACUACUUGGCUAGAGUCUCGGAGAGGACAGUGGAAUUCUAGGUGUAGCGGUGAAAUGCGUAGAUAUCUAGAGGAACACCAGUGGCGAAGGCGACUGUCUGGACGAGUACUGACGCUCAAUCACGAAAGCGUGGGUAGCGAAAGGGAUUAGAUACCCCUGUAGUCCACGCCGUAAACGUUGUGCACUAAGUUUCGGAGGAUUCGACCCCUUCGGAGCUCUAGCUAACGCG
rnacentral:rRNA from 1 species